UGAUUUUAUAGCUUACACUAAAGCGUUGCUUUGAAGGGGCAAAGACAUAUCCAUUGAAGUCAA
rnacentral:tRNA from 1 species